GGACCUGACCGCUAUCGGAUUGAUACUAAGCCAUGCGAGUCAUUGUAGCAAUACAAGGCAUACGGCUCAGUAACGCGUAGUCAACCUAACCUAUGGACGGGAAUAACCUCGGGAAACUGAGAAUAAUGCCCGAUAGAGCAUUAUGCCUGGAAUGGUUUAUGUUCCAAAUGAUUUAUCGCCGUAGGAUGGGACUGCGGCCUAUCAGUUUGUUGGUGAGGUAAUGGCCCACCAAGACUAUUACAGGUACGGGCUCUGAGAGGAGUAGCCCGGAGAUGGGUACUGAGACACGGACCCAGGCCCUAUGGGGCGCAGCAGGCGAGAAAACUUUGCAAUGUGCGAAAGCACGACAAGGUUAAUCCGAGUGGUUUCUGCUAAAGAAACCUUUUGUCAGUCCUAGAAACACUGAUGAAUAAGGGGUGGGCAAGUUCUGGUGU
rnacentral:rRNA from 1 species